UACGUAGGGUGCAAGCGUUGUCCGGAAUUAUUGGGCGUAAAGAGCUCGUAGGCGGUUUGUCGCGUCUGCUGUGAAAACCUAGGGCAUAACCCUGGGCCUGCAGUGGGUACGGGCAGACUAGAGUGCGGUAGGGGAGACUGGAAUUCCUGGUGUAGCGGUGAAAUGCGCAGAUAUCAGGAGGAACACCGGUGGCGAAGGCGGGUCUCUGGGCCGUAACUGACGCUGGAGGAGCGAAA
rnacentral:rRNA from 1 species